rnacentral:rRNA from 1 species
UACGUAGGUGGCGAGCGUUGUCCGGAUUUAUUGGGCGUAAAGCGAGCGCAGGCGGUUUCUUAAGUCUGAUGUGAAAGGCCCCGGCUCAACCGGGGAGGGUCAUUGGAAACUGGGAGACUUGAGUGCAGAAGAGGAGAGUGGAAUUCCAUGUGUAGCGGUGAAAUGCGUAGAUAUAUGGAGGAACACCAGUGGCGAAGGCGGCUCUCUGGUCUGUAACUGACGCUGAGGCUCGAAAGCGUGGGGAGCAAACAGG